rnacentral:rRNA from 1 species
ACGUAGGUGGCAAGCGUUAUCCGGAUUUACUGGGCGUAAAGCGUACGUAGGCGGCGCCAUCAGUCUGUCGUGAAAUCUCCCGGCUCAACCGGGAGCGGCCGAUGGAAACUGUGACGCUCGAGGGGCGUAGAGGCAAGCGGAAUUCCCGGAGUAGUGGUGGAAUGCGUAGAUACCGGGAGGAACACCAGUGGCGCAAGCGGCUUGCCAGACGCAUCCUGACGCUGAGGUACGAAAGCGUGGGUAGCGAACCGG